UUUCAGACCCUUUGACUUGAGAGUUGAAGAAGAGCAGGUAGGAGGGAGCCGUAAAGGCCUACCAGUCAAACCAUUCAUGUCAAAUGUAUUCUUGAAAGGAAUACGAAGACAGCGAAGGCAAGCAUGUUGGGCCUAGAAAAUGGAUCACCUAGUUCAUUGACAAUUUGACAUUCCAAAACAAAGUGCACUUCGGCCCAGCUUUAUGGAGAGCUAUGCUACAUUCAUCAAUCCUUAAUUGAUGUGCUUACAAAAAUAAUAAAUAAAAUCUACCCUUAAAAAUAAAAUAAAUAAAUAAAUAAACAAAAGAAAAUAAACAAACUAAUAAAAGGAAAAAGCUCUCCGGCUCUUUCUCCCUUUCUCUCUCUCCUACGUCCAGAUCGCAUUACUUUCCCCGUAAAAUCCAUCACCGUCGGAACUGUCACUUUCGCCAGAUCUGCUUGCCAGCCACUUGAUAGUGUGUGCUUUGCUUAGAAGAUUGCAUUUUAUUUGGGAUAUGAGUUGGACCUGUUGUUUUUAUCUUUCAUCUGUUCUCUUGAUUUUAGGUUGAUUAAAUUUGAGUUAACAGUUCUAUUGUUUUUGGUAUAUCACAAUUGUUUGCCGAUAUUUUCUCGGCAACCAUAUAG